AUCAGGUGUGUGGGAAGAAGGGGUGCUUCACAUGGCUGUGGCUCUUCAGGAACAUUCAUUCCCUCUUGCCCAAGGUGUUCCUGUACACGUUCAUACCCGUGGGGUUGCUUAGCAAAUACUGUCUCAGCCACCUGUUACCUUGCAUCCUCAGGCCAAUGACGUAUGCCGCCUCUUGCCUCUGUCUGUAUACACCCCGACAGUCAGCGAGGACCCCUGUGGGACCUGGCUCGUAGAACUGUAGUGGGAUGCUGUGGGUUAGCACAGGAAGUACUUCAGUGCAGGCGAGUGCAUGUGAAAGCUGCAGGCAUACUUUGCUUUGUUCUCUCUCGUCAGCUCAGGUGCCUCUGCUCACACUCAGUAUUGACUGAGGACCUGCAGCGUGCCAGGCCGAAGCCUCUCUGCCUUGGUGCCUGGGAGCUGAGUGUGCAGUUCCGAUGCAGCCGGGUAGAGCUUCUGAGAACUGGUAUGCUGGCUCCCACUGCUGGUGUGACUGACAUCCUGACGAAAUAUGUCAGUUGGAAACAGUUGUGAAAGAAAUAUCUGGAGAGACUAUUAGCCCUGCAGGAGGACCACAGGGAGUCUGAACUCAGGUCAGGUGCUAGUCUUGGCUGUGUUUUCAUGACUCGGGGAGGGAGGGGUGUCCUCCUUUCCUCAGUUUCCUCAUCUGAAAUCAGGGCAGUAUUCGGUGGAUCUCACCUUAGAAGGUUGACUCUGUGGGAUUGCUCACGUGGUAGUGCAUUGUAAGCAGCUGUGACAACUUGCAUUUUGGUUUCUGGUCCCUAGCAUGAUGACCAAAGGUACAUCCUGUGUAGUCCAUGUGCUGAUGCUGGGCAUGGACAUCAAAUAAAGCUUGUUCUGCUCUCAA
rnacentral:lncRNA from 1 species